AUGCACACAAUCGUAGCUAGCAUCAACACAACAUGGCAAUCUGAAUUAAUCAGAUUCUCAGACUUAGAAAUAUUUGACCCUACCAAAUAACAACUUUAUCUUAGCAUGUUCACAUGAUGAAAACUACAGCUAAGCUGUGGCACCCUGAUAGAGGGCCGACGCACAUUCGUCCCCAGGAUAGGACCGGACACGCGCCAAAGACAUGAUACCGAAAUUCCAGGCAAAAGUGGCUUUAUUAAUAUAAGGGAGUAUUACAAUACUUUUGCUUACAACAAUAUUACACAACUCCAAGGCUACUAAGUGGCAACAGAUGUCUUGAUACAAUGGCAACGACGUCCCUGGCUAGGCUCCAUAACUCGCAGGACUGGCUUGGUUAGGAUCUAGCACGACGAGCCUUCUCCUGCAACUGGCCACGUGCAAGGCCAAGUGAGUACUUUGAAUCUACCCGCAAGACAACCAAAUACAUGGCAUCCAAACAACCAGAUAACAAAGCAAGCAUAAUAAUUAUAUAAUAGCUAUUCUAAGCAUGGCAUGGAAUUAGCAAGAAAAAUAUGUAUCAAGCAUAGCAUGACAUGGACUAAUCAUGUAAUCUACCUCACUAGCAUGGCAAGAUCCCAACAAGUGCUUAACCAACUUAUUAUUGCUGAAUAUCAACUUACUCUAUUCUCGGUUGUACCACAACCCUCGACAUACUCGUAAUCCAAUCUGAACAGAUUCAAAUUGCAUAACACGGUCAUCUGACCAGUCAUCAUGUAGCCUUCUCUUGGCAAACACAUCAUGUUAUCAACAUCCUCUGAUGUUCACACGAGACGAGCUCUUCCAUCAUUACAACACUGAUAUGGUUGACCGUUUACUGAGGUCUGGUCGGGCUGUCCAUUACCGUGGACUCAGCUAUUCAAAUAGGUUUGACACUUUGCAGAGGUUGCACACUUUACCCACACUAUGAAGCACUGACCUCAAGAUCCCAUUCGGGUGGACCAGCAUUGCUCCAACGAAACUUGCCUGACCCGUGACUCUUUCAUCGUACCACCGGCAUCCAUCCUUCCAUGGAGUCCUGCCUUGGGUGGCCCUGUGUCCUCAUCACACCUGCCACCAUCGUGGCCAAACUAAAUUGUCCCAUCCGGGGACGCCGACACAAACAACUCAACUGGCUCACAGGGUUAUCACCGCCCACCUGAUCGGGGUAGCACGAGUGCAUAACCCUCCCUAAUUGGAGGUACCGGUGAAAGGUCACGCGAUCAGCCCAAGUCACGGCCGUCCCACAACGACAAAUGUGGCUCUCCAUGUUUCACUUACCACUGUCUACUCAAGCAUAUCUGGAACUGCUUUUGGACCAAUCUUUGCUUCAGGACAUGGAUCUUGAUCAUCAGGCUUUUGACAGAUGGGUAUGGGGAAAAGAUGCUAAGGUCUACACAGCCAAGAGAUACUACGCUCAUAUUCAUAGCAGUAUUGUACCAAACCCUUUACUCAACUGGAUCUGGAGAAGCUGUUGUACCAUGAAGAUUAAGAUGUUUGCCUGGAUGCUCAUCCUGGACAGGUUAAACACUCAAGAUAUGCUUGAACGACAUCACUGGAAUGUUUCUGACUCCAACCUUUGUGUUCUAUGUUAUGCUCGAGUCAAGGAGGACAGAGAUCACUUAUUCUUCAACUGUCUUUUAAGUACCAGGGUCUGGAAUUACCUGCACAUCACAUGGCAGGGUCCAUCCAUGUGAAGUGCGGCUGUUGCUGCUGAAAGGGACAUUCAUAACCCUUUCUUUGCUGAGGUGGUCUUCACUGCAUGUUGGAACAUCUGGACUAUCAUAAAUGCAAAGGUCUUCAACCAGGAGCAGCCAAAGUUCAGAAAAUGGAGAUCUGGAUUCAUUCAUGACAUUUCUCUGUUAGCUCAUAGAAUUAAGGCUAGUUUCAGGGAUGAUCUCCUUAAAUGGGUUUCGUUUUUGCCUCCUUGAGGUUUGUAAUUCUUGCUCCUCUUCCCCUUUGUACAUUCUAAUCUCCCAUUGUACAUAUUGCUCUCAUAUAUGGGAAUAAAGGAAAAAUGGUUGUGGGUGGUUUUCCCUACAGUAGCCGGUCAAAAAAAUGUGGUUGCACUGAUGGGCCCGGACAGGUGACUCUGAUCAACCAACUAGGUAUCUUAUCCCGAAUAUUAUUUGUCAUAGCUGACGCUACGAUGUCAACGCAAUCCGAUAAUUAAUAAGAUUAACCCACUACUGUUAAACUACAUUCAUAAAUUGUCGGAUGAAACACAAAGUAAUCAUAGACAGUAAUCUCAAUACUAUAAUGUAAAUAGCAAACUAUUACUUUACCGAUUAUAACUAUAAGUUGGACCUUCGGAACCACCGCAUCAAAUCAGCAAAUAAAUCGGUAGCCACUAGAAGGGUCUUUACAACACAGAUCUGGGACAUUACCGGAAUAACUGAACUCCGACUCAAGACGGCUAGAAAGCAGCUCAAAGCAUGAGGCGGUGUUGAUAAGAAGAAAGUAGCAGUUCCCUAAGACAGCCGAAGCAUAGCUCAGAGCAUAGGAUCACUGCCACGGAGAGAAUUUCAAUAGUGGCCCGCGACGGCCGAAAAGCAGCACAGAACACGGGACAACUGCUGACAAAAUAAAUAUAAAAUUGGCAUCCACCCUGGACGACCGGAAACAGCACAGAUUCAGGCAUGGUGCCAUUAUUGAAGGAAAUGCGAGCAAGGGUUCAUCAGCGUCACACACAACACCUCACCAUGUACUCUGAUAUAAGCAUUUUAAAUUUAAUAUGUAAGAGCAACAUCUGCGGGCGUAUGUUGGAUGAAGAGUAAUACUAGUAACUAUUACUAAUACUGUCACAGUUAUAUAUAAAUGGGGGUUAAAAGGUGAUACAGACAAACACACAGAGUGCAAGCAAAGUUAUAACGCAGGUACGGAGCUCAUGGUAAGAGAUUGCUUGCCUGGGGGUCGACGAAUACACCAGGAAGGAGCACAAUACAACAUCUGAAAGAUUUGCCGGAGAGGUUUCCCUCUCGGAGGGCUCAAUCAGAGGGCAAGGGGAAAACAAUCAUUUCUACUGUGCAAACAUAUUAUGAAAAUGGUAUAAUCAAAACGAGCUCGACGAGACGAAGAUCUGGUUUUACCUCAAUUGGAGUUACGAGCGUAAACUUACGGACGUUCAUUCGUUAGGCAGAAAAUAAAUAAAACUUAUUCAUUUCUGCUCUUAACUAGUGAACGUUCACAAUUGAGCAGAUUCGGCCGGCGAGGUAAAAUCAGAAGGCGCAUUUCCAGGAAUACGCUUUCGGUAAACCGAAAGCGUAUUUCCUCCUUUACGUCUCCACUUAAGCGCGUGGGCCCGGGGGGGUGACUUCUCUCUUACUUACGAGUGGGGGCCACCUUAUCCACUCCCUUCCUCUCUCUUACAGGUGCGGCCUACCCCUCUCUCUAUCCUCCUCCCUGCAUCUUCUUAUUCCUCGCAAUAGGGACGCCAGAGGCGCCAUGGCCAUCGGGCCGAGCUCGCCGCCGGCGCUAUAGGCCACCUGGCGCGGGGCUCCGACCAUCGGCCUGCUCAAGGCGACGGGGCAGACCCAUAUCCCGGGGCAAGGCGGGCACCAGAGGGCUAGGAGGUGGCCGGGGCGUCGGGUGCGGCGGGCGCCGGUCUCGGCCAGGGUUGGGGCGGUGCCUUGGUCAUUCGAGGGACGAGGCGAAGAGGUGGGGAGGCAUGAGGUGGCAAGGGAAGGGAUGGGAGGGGGCAAGGCCGAGGGAAAGAGACGCUGCCAGCCCAAUUUCUAGCCGGGGCCGGCGGUGGUCGGGGUGGCAAUCGGAGGGGGCCGGAGCUCCUCCAGCUCGGGAAAAGGAGGGGCAAGCUGCUGGUGCUCGAGGGUCGACACGGGCUCGGGGCACACCAUUUAUAGCCAAGGGAUGGAGUUCCCGCGAUGCCGGAAGAACCUCCGAGAUCCAUGGCGGGACUCCAAUGGCAGACACCUCGAGUAGCAAGGAGACGAUGGGGAGAGGGUUCUAGAGGGCAUACGUGGGCUAGGGGAUCCUCUUCGACACUCUUGGACAGGCUGGUGCUAUGUGGAGAUGUGCUCCCGUCGCCUCAAUGCAUAGAGUUCCGUUUUGGCCCUCUAUGCCCAUGGUCACCACGUCGCCAUGGCCUUGCCUUGCCCAUCAAGCUGUCAAAGCUUGUCUAGGGUGUUCUCCAAGAAACACUGAGCUGAACCGACCCAUCAAACUCCAUGCUACAACUCUGAUGUGAAAGAACCAAGGUCAAAUAGUCUCCAAGAGUAAGGUGUUUGCGCUGCGGUGUGGCCACCAUAGUGCACCUCUUGUCAUGCUAUUUGGCUCAGGUUGACCACUCACUAUACUAACCAAAAUUCAGCACAAUCCUAUGAGUCUAUGGGGUACUUCCUUUGUAACUUGGCAUACUGGCCAGAAAUGAAGAACAUGAUGCCGGGGUCAAAUGGCUAAAUGGAAAUGGCUGAAAUAUGGAGGAGACUCAUGAUUUAGGCAUAUGAAGGCACUGGCAAAGUUUCAUAACAUUUGCAUAAAUAUAAAUGGUACUUCCUUCACACUGCUCCAAUCUGGACAAAAUCUUAACUAAUUUGCUGGGAAAGAAUGGGGUGAUGAAAUGAGCUAAAUUUUGGUGGACAAAGAUGAUUUAACAAAAUGAACCACUCUGGAAAAUUUCAACUCAAGGGGAACAAGGAAUCAAGCACUUCCUUUACAAACAGAAGAUCUGGACAGAAUUUGCAAAGGAAUAUUGUGCACAAUUUUUGAAUUGGGGAACUUGAUAUAUGAGUGGAGAUGAUGAAUAUAUAAGGAUGACAAGCACCAAAAACUAUUUUGGAUUUUUCCUAGCUACCAACAUGGUAGUUCCUUUGGAGAGGCCCCAAAUGGGAAUAUUGGCUUAAAAUAAGAAAAUGCAAUUUUUCUUUAUUCUAUGAUGGGCAAUAUUUUAUGAGAGCUUCAUAGGAUCUCAAAGAACAUUUCUACAAGUUUUCAUGAGCACUGGAGAUGGAUAGCUAUUUUCUUGGAUUUAAUUCCUUAGACAAGCAGAAACAGGAAUUAAUUCCAAAGGGGAAAUAUUGCAUAUGACUUGGCAAUAUUUUUGCACAUCUGGGGGUUAUGAGGGAUGAUCUCUGGGAAGAUUUGGAGGAUCAAUAGAGCAAGGGAAAUGAUGGCUCCUUUGAAAACACAACGACAUGAUUCCCAGUUCCAAUACUUCAGAGCUAGGGUUUCAAAAGGGGGUUCGGGGUUUACUCAGCAAGGGCAAGGAGCCACAAGGAUAUGGGAAAAUCCCUGAGAGGUUGAGGACAGAGUGGAUUCACAUGGUCAUUUGCCAAAUUCCAAAGGAAAAUCUAGGAGAAAAAAAAUCUAGGAAGGAAUAACAACACAAAAAUCGAUAACCCGAUUUUUGGGAUGUUACAUAAGCAUGGCAUACAUGGCAUGGGAAACCUACUAACAACAACUAGAUAUAGCAUGCUUCAAAUCACUCCCUUGCGCACAUUCAAAAUAGGCAUAGUUUCCUUAAUUCGAGCUUCGUAAAAUGGAACUUUACGAAAAUAGAUUGUUGCUUUUAACAUGAUAGCAACUUGGGAGCAACAAAUAAGCAUGUUAAUGCUAACCUACAUGGCAACUAGAGGCACAACAUCACAUUAUACAUAUUAAAUAGCACAUAUCAUGAAGAAACCACAUGCAAAAGGCCUACAGUUUGUUUGCAAUGAUCCGUGCAACUUUGAUUAAUAUAAUAGUUUUAGACCUAUCCACGAAGCACUUGCAAUGGAGAUUUGAGCUUGUAGCUGCAACCUAUUAUGCACGCAAAUGCCACAAUCACGUAGAGCAUGAAGAGUCAGACAUUUUUCAUAUAGAGUUUAUUUAAAUCGGAGCAACAGUUAUGAAGUGACGAAAUAAAUCCUUUUAAUAUGGCAUUUACGCAAAACAAUGAAAAAAUGAAGUUUAAUAUUUUACACAUGCCUGAAAUUUCGAUAUUGUGAAUCUACACAAAAUUCUGAACAUUUUUAAUAUCAAGUUUUUUUAUUCCGAUGCACCGAUUAAACCACACAAAAUACAAAAGGGCAUCACAACAAAAUAGCAUGCACACAAACUUGCUCGAACUAGAAAACUAAUUGCACAAUUAAAUUCAUCGGAUUUUUCUAACCCAAAAUCAUAUAUAACAUGUGGGUAUUACGAUGGGAAAAAUUACACAACAAUUAUGCAAGAUUAUGGCAUCUAUGCAAAUUAUGUGAAAACAACAAGCUAAACAUUUUUUAUCAUGCAUGGAAGUUGCAAAUUAUUAAUCUACACAUAAUACUAAACAUUUUACAUAUUAAGUUUGUUUGAAUCUGAUGCACAGUAAUUUAUUGAUUAACAUUUUAAAAACAUGCAUUUUUCUGUAACUAAAAUGCAUUGGUUAAUUAGGAAUUCAGAGACAGUGAAAAAAAUAGGCUACGGGCCAAAUCUUAGCACUCGACCCAAACAUUACAUGGCACAACAUCAAAUAAAACACUCUGGGUGGGACUUAGCGGGGGUGCUCACACAGGGCCGGAUCUGGCUGCGGCUGGGCUUGACCUUGCGUCGUGGGCUAGGGGAGCUGACACGUGCACAGGAGGCCCACGCGGGCGCUCAGGCUCUCGGAUGAGGCAGACGAGGUUGCUACCAAGAGGCCGAUGGCAGCGGCUGAGGGGACUUCAACGACGGGGACGAGGAGGGAUUGGCCAGAUCCGGUGGCAGAGACACGAAGGCGGCCGGUGGUGAGGCACGCUGGCGGUGGCGGUGGUCUAUGAGGUGGCUCGAGGUAUUGGCAGGCUUCGGCAGCGUGCAUCUUUACGACAACAGGAGCUAGGGAUGUCGGGCGCACGACCACAAUGACGAUGAGAAGGAACGGCGAGGCGGCUAGCCGGCGACGUCAGAGCGGCGGCUCGGGGUAAUGGCGUAGCCGCAGGUAGGUGCUAGGGCUGACGAGGUGGUGGCGAGAGGAGCUCAUGCUUCUGACGAUCCAGAUCGGGCUCGAGGAGCAGCGGGCAACACAGAUGAACCAGGGCCGAGUGGGCCUGUUGUGGGCUCAGCGACUUCGGCGGGUGGGAGAGAGGACGUGGGAGAUGUGGAGGUUGGGUGCUGACUGCUGGUUAGGGCCGCACAGAAAUCUUGGGUUCAGCCGAAUUAGGUGGGGGCGGUGUGCUUAAAUAGGGAAGGGGG
rnacentral:lncRNA from 1 species